UCACAGCUGCAACCGCUCGUUUUAAGUUUUCUAAGCAUUUGCUAAGGCAAAUCACUACAUUACGGCGAGUCUAAGUAUAAAC
rfam:Lactobacillus agilis DSM 20509 NODE_47, whole genome shotgun sequence.